rfam:Phenylobacterium sp. RIFCSPHIGHO2_01_FTLL_69_31 rifcsphigho2_01_scaffold_121, whole genome shotgun sequence.
UCAGACGGCCGGGCGGUCGCGGCCUCUCAACGCAAGUUGGUGGGUCGAGGAAAGUCCGGGCUCCACGACGACAUGGCGGCGGGUAACGCCCGCCGGGGGCGACCCCAGGGAUAGCGCCACAGAGAGCAAACCGCCGGCGCUUCGGCGCCGGUAAGGGUGAAAGGGUGCGGUAAGAGCGCACCGGGCCGCUGGUAACAGAGGUCGCAUGGCAAGCCCCGCCAGGAGCAAGACCGAAUAGGGAUCCCGCGCCCGGCCAAGUCCGCAAGGAUACUGGCGGGUAGGAGCGUUGCCGCUCCGAGGGGUCCGGGUAGGUCGCGAGAACCGCUCCGCGAGGAGCGGUCCAGAGGAAUGACCGCCGCGUCCCGCAAGGGGCGGCACAGAACCCGGCUUAUAGGCCGUCUGAUCCG